CUCUGCAAAGCCAUUUCCUCAUGUGUAAAAUGAACACAACAACCCAAGUGCUCUCGAAGGCCUGUUGUGAGAUGAACAUGGGCUAAUGUAUGGGAAGAUCAACUAGCAACUAUCCGUACACAAGACACCACUGUGAAAAUCCUAGAACCUGGGGAUGAGGAAGCGGUUUAUUGGACAACAGAUACUGAAGAGGACCACAUUAGAAGGAAUAAGUUUGCAGACUCCUCAUCUAUAUGAUGAUUACAGAGACCUGGACAAAUUAAAGGAUUAGCAGUAAGAAUGAAAGUUAUGAAGGAUAUUGAAGAACUUUUACUGCAAGCUCCUGAUAAAUGCCUAAGAAGUUUUUAAUGCACAAGUCUACCUCAGAUGUUACAUUAAACUUGAGUAGGU